GACGAGCUGGCCGGAUGGGGGAUGCGGCCGCCGCUGGUGGUGGCGGACGCCGGCUACGGACAGAACGCCGACUUCCGGGCCGGGCUCACCG
rnacentral:tRNA from 1 species